UAUGGAGGGUGAGGCCUGCCCAAUGGUUGUAUCUAAAAGCGGUGGAUAAAAGUCGACCGUGUAAGGACAAUUGAAUGGCCGCGGUAACACUGACCGUGAUAAUGUAGCGUAAUCACUAGCCAAUUAAUUGUUGGCCAGUAUGAAUGGCGCCACGAAGGCCCCACUGUCUUAAGGAAAUUCCCAGUGAAAUUGAAUUCGUAGUGAAGAUGCUACGUCCAAUUUGUUAGACGAAAAGACCCCGUUGAGCUUUACUGGGGCACUUACACGGCCCUGGCCUUCAAGCCUAAGUGUGAUAGGCCAAGGCUUACCGCACCUAGGAGUUGGCCGAAUUUAAAUGGGUGGUUUAGACUAUGUGGCAGCCCCCCGUCGGGGCAGAUGAAACCCCACUCCCCCAUGUCAAAGGGGCUAACCCCCUCCUCUUGGGAGGGGGGACAAUGUAAGUAGGACAGUUUGGUUGGGGGCGACCGCCUUUUAAAUAGUAACGAAGGAGCGCUUAAGGUGUGUAAUUAAUGACUGAAGCCU
rnacentral:rRNA from 1 species